GACGAACGCUGGCGGCGUGCUUAACACAUGCAAGUCGAGCGGUAAGGCCCUUUCGGGGGUACACGAGCGGCGAACGGGUGAGUAACACGUGGGUGACCUGCCCUCAGCUCUGGGAUAAGCCUGGGAAACCGGGUCUAAUACCGGAUAUGACUCCAUGACGCAUGUUGUGGGGUGGAAAGCCUUGUGCGGCUGAGGAUGGGCCCGCGGCCUAUCAGCUUGUGGUGGGGUGAUGGCCUACCAAGGCGACGACGGGUAGCCGGCCUGAGAGGGCGACCGGCCACACUGGGACUGAGACACGGCCCAGACUCCUACGGGAGGCAGCAGUGGGGAAUCUUGCGCAAUGGGCGAAAGCCUGACGCAGCGACGCCGCGUGAGGGAUGACGGCCU
rnacentral:rRNA from 1 species